rnacentral:rRNA from 1 species
GAUGAACGCUGGCGGCGUGCCUAAUACAUGCAAGUCGAACGGACGGACGAGAUUCUUGCUUCUCUGAUGUUAGCGACGGGCGGGUGACUAACACGUGGAUAGCCUACCUAUAAGGCUGGGAUAACUUCGGCAAACCGGAGCUAAGACCGGAUGAUCUUUUGAACCGCAGGGGUCAGAAGUGAAUGACGGUCUUGCUGUCGCUUAUAGAUGUAUCCGCGCGGCUGUAGGUUGUUGGUAAGGUAACGGCUUACCAAGGCGACGAUGCAUAGCCGACCUGAGAGAGUGAUCGGCCACACUGGAAGUGAGACACGGUCCAGACUCCGACGGGAGGCAGAAGUAGGGACUCUUGCGAGAUGGGCGGAAGACUGACGGAGCAAUGGAGGGUGAGUGAAGAAGGGCUUCGGGCGGUAAGACUCUGUUAGUAGGGAAGAACAUAUUCGUACGUGACUGUGCACAUUUUGACGGUACCUAGUAAAAAAGCACCGGCUAACUACGUG